rnacentral:rRNA from 1 species
UGGGGAAUUUUGCGCAAUGGGCGAAAGCCUGACGCAGCAACGCCGCGUGAGGGAUGAAGGCCUUCGGGUCGUAAACCUCUGUCAAGGGGGAAGAACAUCCUGUGAGCUAAUACUUCACAGGACUGACGGUACCCCUAAAGGAAGCACCGGCUAACUCCGUGCCAGCAGCCGCGGUAAUACGGAGGGUGCAAGCGUUGUUCGGAAUUAUUGGGCGUAAAGCGCGUGUAGGCGGUUUGUUAAGUCUGAUGUGAAAGCCCCGGGCUCAACCUGGGAAGUGCAUUGGAUACUGGCAGACUUGAGUAUGGGAGAGGAAAGUGGAAUUCCGAGUGUAGGGGUGAAAUCCGUAGAUAUUCGGAGGAACACCAGUGGCGAAGGCGGCUUUCUGGACCAAUACUGACGCUGAGACGCGAAAGCGUGGGGAGCAAACA